AUUGAACGCUGGCGGCAUGCCUUACACAUGCAAGUCGAACGGUAACGGGCCUUCGGGUGCCGACGAGUGGCGAACGGGUGAGUAAUGUAUCGGAACGUACCUUUCAGUGGGGGAUAACGUAGCGAAAGUUACGCUAAUACCGCAUAUUCUGUGAGCAGGAAAGCAGGGGAUCGCAAGACCUUGCGCUCAUUGAGCGGCCGAUAUCAGAUUAGCUAGUUGGUGAGGUAAAAGCUCACCAAGGCGACGAUCUGUAGCGGGUCUGAGAGGAUGAUCCGCCACACUGGAACUGAGACACGGUCCAGACUCCUACGGGAGGCAGCAGUGGGGAAUUUUGGACAAUGGGGGCAACCCUGAUCCAGCCAUGCCGCGUGAGUGAAGAAGGCCUUCGGGUUGUAAAGCUCUUUCGGCCGGGAAGAAAUCGUAUCAGCUAAUACCUGGUGCGGAUGACGGUACCGGCAUAAGAAGCACCGGCUAACUACGUGCCAGCCGCCGCGGUAAGAC
rnacentral:rRNA from 1 species